GUGCUUGCUCCACCAGCACAUAUACUAAAGCUGGAAUGAUACUGAAAAGAAUAGCAUGGCCCCUGUGCAAGGAUAACAUGCAAAUUCAUGAAACAUUCCCCGUUUUU
ensembl:snRNA U6 U6 spliceosomal RNA